CGGGUGUGUAAGCGCAGCGAUGCGUUGAGCUAACCGGUACUAAUGAACCGUGAGGCUUAACCUU
rnacentral:rRNA from 2 species